AGGAACAACAUCGAUUCAAGAAAUGGUAUGGAUGAUCACUAAUAACCUAAAGUUCGAAAGAGCAAAAAGGCCUUUAGAUGGACGCAGUCCUUUCGUUGAAUUUUCGAUGCUGUACGAUGAUAGAGAAUGGUUUAGCAAAAAGCCAGAUUAUAAACCUACUCUGUACUUGCAUGACUCAGUAGGAUACUAUGAAGUUUGAAGAGUCCGCUAGUAGUUAAGUCACACUUACCUCUAGAUUUACUUCCAAAGCAGUUGCAGGAAGGCACAAAAAAACCUAAGGUAACCGUUUUAACUAAAAAACAAUCAGUUAAUACAUUUGACCUAGAUUGUUUACGUGGCACGAGAUCCAAGAGACGUUUGUAUUUAUGUCUUAUUAUCACCAUAGUAAAUUACUAAAGGGAUUUAAAGGUACCUGUGAAGAAUUUUGUGAAUUAUUUUUAGCUGGGAAAGUACCAUAUGGGCCUUCUUGGCAAUAUGUAUUACCAUUUUGGGAAAUAAGAAAUAGUCCAAAUAUACUUUAU